AGUUAUUUUUCUAAUAUUAUUUUAAAAGUUAAGAUUAACAGAAAGAUGAUGUAUAUGAAAUAUUUUUAUUUCUUUUUCUUUUUAACUCUUGUAAAAUCCAACAAUAUCAUUGAACGAUAAAGCAGAAUUUAGUAAAUUGUUUCAAUAGUUGUGGUUUGUUAAAUUCUGAAAUCAUAAAUUCUCAAGAUAAUUUUACUAACAAUUUUGAAUUAUUAUUUAUAAAUUGGUGUAUAAUCAUUUUACAGAGUAAAAGUGAAGAUAUUAUUUCAACGGUUGGGAAUGAUAUGUACAAAUAUAUUAGUGAAAAUGGUAAUUGCCCAAAUGAAGCGAAGACGUGUUGUUAUAGAUAUGCUAGAGAAGUUAAUGCUUUAAAAGGAACUAUGGAACUUGUGAACACGCCUUAUAAACAUUUGAUUACAGCGGUGGGUCCCGAAAAUAAAGUUUUGCCAACGUUACUUUAUGAACAAGACAUGAUUGUCGACUUGGGCUACGAUCCGGUGGAUGAUGAUCAAAUAGUUGUAUUGUCCGAAAAUACAGAAGCUGCGGACUGCAUAAAGAUAGAGCGUUUGUAUUAAAUGUACCUUAAUUAAUUAGUAAUAUUUCAUUUAUAAAAAUUAUAUAAGAAUUAUAUAAUAAAUAAUAAAAAAUGUUUUGUUGUCUACAAUAUUUUAGUAAAUUCUUUAUGAAAUUUCGACGAUCAUUCCAAAUCUGUCUCUAAUUUUAU